AGCAGUCGCCGCGGUAAUACGUAGGUGGCAAGCGUUGUCCGGAAUUAUUGGGCGUAAAGGGCUCGCAGGCGGCUUCUUAAGUCUGAUGUGAAAGCCCCCGGCUCGACCGGGGAGGGUCAUUGGAAACUGGGAAACUUGAGUGCAGAAGAGGAGAGUGGAAUUCCACGUGUAGCGGUGAAAUGCGUAGAGAUGUGGAGGAACACCAGUGGCGAAGGCGACUCUCUGGUCUGUAACUGACGCUGAGGAGCGAAAGCGUGGGGAGCGAACAGGAUUAGAUACCCGCGUAGUCCCUGUCUCUUAUAA
rnacentral:rRNA from 1 species